rnacentral:rRNA from 1 species
AGAGUUGAUCCUGGCUCAGGACGAACGCUGGCGGCAUGCCUAACACAUGCAAGUCGAACGAGAGUAGCAAUACUCGAGUGGCGAACGGGUGAGUAACACGUGAGCAACCUGCCUUACACAACGGGAUACCUACUGGAAACAGUAGUUAAUACGGUAUAAGACCACAGUACCGCAUGAUACAGUGGUAAAAGAUUUAUCGGUGUAAGAUGGGCUCGCGGCGCAUUAGCUAGUUGGAGAGGUGACGGCUCACCAAGGCGACGAUGCGUAGCCGACCUGAGAGGGUGAUCGGCCACAUUGGGACUGAGAUACGGCCCAGACUCCUACGGGAGGCAGCAGGUGGGGAAUAUUGGGCAAUGGAGGAAACUCUUACCCAGACAAUGCCGCGUGAAUGAUGAAGGUCGUAAGAUUGUAAAGUUCUUUAGUCAGGGACAAAGAAAGUGAUGGUACCUGAAGAAUAAGCUCCGGCUAACUACGUGCCAGCCGCCGC